UACCUAAAUACAUUACUUUAUUAACUAAAAACAAUAAAAAAAAUUGGUCUCUUAAUGUAGGAAAUCUGAACAAUUGUGCGGCAAUGUAUUUAUCAGAAUUUUCUAUCUUUUUAUUAGUAUCGCUAUUGUGGUUAUGUUCUGGACUGUGUGAAAUAACAAAAUUCAAAAUGGAAACACGUUUAGAUAGAUAUGAAAAAAAUGGUAAAAAGUCUUUUGAGCGGCUGGAGGAUAAUAAAGAUACAACAUUUCAAUCAGGGGGUAAUUUUAAACAUUUAGAAGGGUUCAACGAUUCUGGUGACCACCAGAUAUCAAAUCUCUUUAAAACAAUUGCGUCUAAGUUAAACAGUGAUUUAAAAGUAUCAUCUUACCAUAAUGAAUUCAGUCGUAAAAUUCCAAUCGAUCCAACCAAAACUAUAAGCCCAGAUAAUAUAAAUCAACAUGAAAUUCCAAAAUUUCGCAAUAUUGGCGCACAAAAGAGCCUUAUUGAGAUUACGGGCAUUAAAGACAGUGAUCGUCUAAGUGCGAGAGGGCGCGAUGGACUUAUUGGCAUUAGCAAAAAUAAACAGAUGCCUUUUAAAUUAAAUUUAGCUGUUCUAGUUCAGGACGAUCCCAGUCAACCGGGUGAGACCUACAGCAAUUGUCCCAGUCAAAAUGAGUCUGAUGUAAGUGCUUGCAAAAAAGUAGAAGAUAUUAUGCCUAAGCUACAAAAGGACUGCGAAAAAAUGGGAUCACAUGUUAUGUGUCCUAGAACUUACCGUUGUAUUAGUAAGUAUUGGUUGUGCGACGGUGAUGAUGACUGUGGAGAUUAUUCGGAUGAAACACAUUGUGGUGUACGAACCAAUUGUACAGAUGAUCAAUUUGAAUGUCUGAAUGGGUUUUGCAUUCCGAGUACGUGGCAAUGUGAUGGUGAAAAUGACUGCAAAGACUUUUCUGAUGAAGCACAUUGUAACCAGACGAGCUGUACUGAUGAACAUUUCACAUGCCUUGAUGGAUUUUGCAUAUCCUUGGCUUUUAGAUGCGACGGUGAGCCUGAUUGUAUUGACAACUCAGAUGAACAUAAGUGUGCAGCGGUUAUAAAUAGUUGCCCAGAUGGUGAAUUUAAAUGUCGUGAAGGUCUUGGUGGUUCUGGAGGUCCAAGUGGACACUGCGUACUAAAUCGGUUCCGGUGUGAUGGUGAUAAUGAUUGCGGAGACUGGAGUGAUGAGGAAAACUGUUCUCGAAAGCCAUCACUAUGUACAACGAAUGAAUAUAAAUGUGCCGAUGGAACCUGUAUCCCAAAACGCUGGAAAUGUGAUAGGGAACAAGAUUGCGAUGGUGGUGAAGAUGAGAAUGACUGUGGAGCCGUAAAUUCAAGUCACUCUUUAUCGUGUGGCAAUGAUGAAUUCACUUGUAAGAAUGGACGUUGCAUUUUGAGAACAUGGCUUUGUGAUGGAUAUCCAGAUUGUACAUCGGGCGAAGAUGAGGUGGAGUGCCAUUUGCAGUGCGACUUAGGUCAAUUUUUAUGCCCAACAAUACAAAAUGAAACAAAUCAUAAAAUAUGUGUUCACCAAAAACACAUUUGUGAUGGCUAUAGAGAUUGUCCCUCUGGUGAGGACGAGUUAAACUGUCCUAAGCAACAAAAAUGCUUAGAUCCUAUGCAGUGUGAACAACUCUGUAUAAAAACUAGUUUGGGGAUAGAUGAAUGUGCUUGUCGUCUAGGAUAUCUUAUGGAUCAAAAUCGAAUUAACUGUACCGACAUAGAUGAAUGCCAGUACCUUACUAGUCCAGUUUGUUCCCAAAAAUGCCGCAAUACUAUAGGCUCAUUCAUAUGCUCAUGCGAAACGGGAUAUAUUCUUCGACCAGAUCUCCGGUCCUGCAAAGCACUGGGUGGUGCAAUGACUCUAUUAGUGGCUAAUAGAUGGGAUAUUCGUAGAGUUGCACUUAGCAAUAAUCGUUAUUCAGCUGUUGUCAAAGGCUUACACAAUGCAAUUGCAUUAGACUUUCAUUAUCGGAAGGGUCUUAUAUUUUGGUCUGACGUAUCUACCGAUAUUAUAAAAAUGGUAUUCAUAAAUGGCACCCGAGUUCGUGAUAUUAUUAAAUGGGGAUUAGAAUCUCCUGGUGGCGUAGCCAUAGAUUGGAUUCAUGAUUUACUUUUUUGGACAGAUUCUGGAACAAGACGGGUUGAGGUAUCCAAUUUUCAAGGAAAUUUUCGCACCGUUAUUGCAUCUUGUGACUUAGAUAAACCUCGUGCUGUUGUUGUACACCCAGGCGAAGCCUUAACAUUCUGGAGUGAUUGGGGACCAUAUCCAAAAAUAGAACGUGCUUACAUGGAUGGAAGCGAAAGAAAAAUUAUCAUUUCAAAAGGUGUUACUUGGCCGAAUGGCCUUGCAAUAGAUUACCCAAGUAGAAAAAUCUAUUGGGCCGAUGCCAAACAGCAUGCCAUAGAGUUUUCUAAUUUAGAUGGAUCCGAUCGAAAUAAAAUACUUAGUACCCAUUUACCCCAUCCAUUCGCUUUGACUAUAUUUGAAGACACAAUGUAUUGGACGGAUUGGAACACAAAGACGGUCUCUGCAGCUAAUAAAAUAUCAGGAAAAGAAUUUCGAGCGGUUGAUGAAAUUUUUCGAUUUCCUAUGGAUAUUCAUGCGUAUCAUCCGGCUCGACAGCCUGAUUAUGCAGAUCGUUGCCCAAAAGAUCGGAGAGGCUUGCGGGGAGGGUGUUCGCACUUGUGCUUACCAAACAAAACAUCUCGUCGAUGUAGCUGUCCAAUUGGGUUAUCCUUAAAGGAUGAUGGAAAAACUUGCAAAAAAACAGGGGAUAAACUCAUAUUAGUCGCUCGUCGCAAAGACAUAAGGUUACGACAACUUAAAAAUAAUGAGGAAGAUCCCUCAAAUGUAGAUAUGAUUAUUCCAUUGGAUAAUUUAAAACAUGCUGUUGCCCUUGAUUGGAGCAGUGAUACAGAUUUUAUUUAUUGGACUGAUGUGGAGCGCAGUACUAUAAAUAAAGCACAUCUUAAUGGCAGUGAGCAACAGCGUGUGGUCCACUCAAACUUAAUUUCACCUGUUGGCUUGGCAUUGGAUUGGAUUACUGAUAAGCUUUAUUGGACGGAUCCAUCCACAAAUCGAAUUGAAGUUGCAACUACGAAUGGAAAGCUACGAACUUUGCUAAUAUGGGAAAAACUCUACAAGCCCAGGGAUAUUGUUGUCAGCCCAAUUGAUGGACUUAUGUUUUGGUCCGAUUGGGGUGAUGAGCCUAUGAUUGAACGUGCAAAUAUGGAUGGAUGUGAGCGCUCUAUUAUAUCCUCAAAGAAACUCGUUUAUCCAAAUGGACUGGCAAUUGAUUAUGACCGUAGUAUGCUGUAUUUUGUUGAUGGUGGUAUCCACACUUUGGAGAGCAUGAACUUCGAUGGAAGCAACCGUAAAGUCAUUUUAAAUGGACUCGGGCAUCCAUUUGGAUUGGAUGUCAGCGAUGGUCGAGUUUAUUGGACCGAUUGGGAUAGCAAAUCAGUGAUGAGUGCCGACAAACUGUCUGGGAAAGACUUAAGUGUAAUCAUUGCCAAUAGUAGCGAUCUAAUGGAUGUACGUGUUUUCCAUCGAAACAGAAGGCGUGUUUUUAAUGAAUGCGAUAGGCAUAAUGGCGGUUGCUCUCAUUUAUGUCUUUUAAAUCCAAUAAGCUAUACUUGUGCGUGCGCAGUGGGAGUGCACUUAAAGAAUGAUAAGCGCACUUGUUCUGAAGGUCCAAAUAAAUAUAUUAUCUUCGCACAUAGAAUAGAUAUAAGACAAAUAUCUUUAGAUUUUGAUCAUUUAAUCGAUGUAGUUUUGCCAUUACCUCCAAUUUCAAACGCUGUAGCAUUAGACGUGGACAAGAAAACAGGUAAUAUUUUUUGGUCUGAUACUAUCGAGAAUGUUAUAAUGAGAUCCAGUCCUGAUGGAUUAAAUGUACAUAAAAUUGUUGGAGAAAGUUUGGAAAAUCCAGAUGGAUUGAUUGUUGAUUCGAUUGGUCGCAUGAUUUAUUGGGCAGAUGCAGGACGUCACACAAUAGAAGUCGCCAGCCUUGAUGGAAGGAAUCGUCAUAUAAUAGCUUAUAAAGACCUUGAGUCUCCACGUGGCCUGGCUCUUGAUUACGAAAUUGGUCUUCUAUUUUGGACCGAUUGGGGACAUUAUCGUAAAAUUGAAAGGUCCCACUUAGAUGGAGAUGAACGAUCACGUAUUGUUACCGCUAACUUAGGAUGGCCGAAUGGAUUGUCACUUGAUUUAAAGAGCAAGCGAAUAUACUGGGUGGAUGCGCUUCUUAAAAGUAUUGAUUCAUGUGAUUACACAGGAAACCAACGCAAGCUUAUACUGUCUUCCUUGCAUCAUCCAUAUGCUUUAGCUGUAACUGAAGAUAGUAUUUUUUGGACAGAUUGGAAGUCUAAAGCUCUUCAUAUGACAGAUAGGCGAAACAUCAGUUCAAGGCGUGAUGUUAUGACUAAUAUUGAAGGAUUAAUGGACAUUAAAGUUAUUUAUCAAGAGCAGCAAAAUUUCGAAAAUAUUUGCGGUCGUGAUAAUGGCGGAUGCUCUCACCUCUGUUUGCGUAAUCCAUCUGGUUACUCUUGUAAAUGCCCUAUUGGACUUCGUCUACUAAAAAACAGUACAACCCAGUGCCAGAGUCUUCCUGAUAGGAACAAUCUUAUCUUCGGAGGAAAAAUCGGAAAUCGAAGCGUUCAAUGAAUGUGGACUUUCUCUUCACAAAAUCGCCGAAAAAAAGGAAAAUACAUCGCAAAACCAUUGCAUAUUUUCUUCAAAAUAAGAAAAGCUACAGAAAAAGUUACAAAGGAGGUAAUAAAAGUGUUAUUAGUUCAACUGAUCGCAGGGCUAUCCUGAGGGUCUUAACGGAUAUAAUUAUUAUUUCUACGAUUUACGCAAGGAAGAGCAUCAUAUGGAUCGCGUACAUAGCCGGGUCGGAGGAGUAAUGCUCCUGCAGAGGGGAAUCUUUCCACUAAAUGCACUGCAAGUUGUCGGACGAAGCCAUCCUCGCACAACGGUACAUCUUCCAAAUGUCGCAAGUCAGCGCUACCGGAUGCGAUCGAAACCUCAGCAGGAUGCUUAAAAACAUUGGGCAGGAGUUUAUUAUGACUUUCUUCUAAUUGCAUUACGUUCAGGCAUUGGAAUGAUUUCCCUCAAUUCGGGU
rnacentral:misc_RNA from 1 species